rnacentral:rRNA from 1 species
UGGGGAAUAUUGGACAAUGGGCGGAAGCCUGAUCCAGCAACGCCGCGUGAGGGAUGACGGCCUUCGGGUUGUAAACCUCUUUCAUCACCGACGAAGUCGUGCCUUUUUGGGGACGGUGACGGUAGGUGGAGAAGAAGCACCGGCCAACUACGUGCCAGCAGCCGCGGUAAUACGUAGGGUGCGAGCGUUGUCCGGAAUUAUUGGGCGUAAAGGGCUCGUAGGCGGUUUGUCGCGUCGGGAGUGAAAACACUGGGCUUAACUCAGUGCUUGCUUCCGAUACGGGCAGACUAGAGGUAUUCAGGGGAGAACGGAAUUCCUGGUGUAGCGGUGAAAUGCGCAGAUAUCAGGAGGAACACCGGUGGCGAAGGCGGUUCUCUGGGAAUGUCCUGACGCUGAGGAGCGAAAGUGUGGGGAGCGAACAG